CCCCUCUCCUUUUUCCCUUUGAUAAUUAUUCUCUUAAAUAAUAUUCCCUAUCUUUAGAACAGCUUAUAUGGAUUUGAGUUGCAAAUUCCCUUUUCAAUCAUCAUCUUCAUCUUCAUCCUGGGCUGUAAUCGUCUACUCACCGUGGCUGAAAUACCGGAUUUUUCCACCGCCGUCCGAUCAUUUGACUCCUCGGAUACCGGAUUUUCGACGUAUUACUGAAAUACCUUAGUAGUAAUUGCGUUUUAAUUUCGCCAAGCCAAGCCAAGCAUAUUUAACAGGACCUCUGAACACAAAGAUGUCACAGAGGAGAGGUAAAACGUCUAGUUGGACUGUAUUUGACCUGACUACUUCUGCAAGUGUACAACCUCUGGACACAAAAAUGUCGCGGAGGAGAGGUAAAACGUCUGGUUGUACUGCAUUUGACCUUGAACAUCGUCGUAAGCAGCGUCUUGAACCUGAAGCAAGGGAUGAAUUUUUUCCGGCAAUAUCAAGCUCAAUGGAGCAAAGUCAGAAAGCCUUGACAAACAUAGCAAAUAUAACUGCAUCGGAGAAGCAUUUUGCGUCUCUACUACAGGAUGCUGUCAAAUUUCAGAUCAAGCCGAAACGCGGCGAUAUGCAUGAAAAGAAAUUGCAGGGUGGUUGCUCUAGUGGUGUCAAAGAUGCUUUGAAGGCAAAUGGAAUGCUUAAGGAGCUCCAUCCUUGGGCAGACCAAUGCCUGAUUGAGGAUGUUUUGGCUGGUGUAGACUAUGAUGUUGAUAAGGCCUCAUCCUUAUUGAAAAUGAUGGUUUCCUCUGAGCAAAAAUACAAUAAUAUUAAAAUUACUGGGACUGAUGAAUUAAAGUUCAAUCGUAAGAAGUCUCUUGUGAAUGAAAAUAAGUCAUUAGCUGAAAAGGACACAGAUCUUUCUCAAGUGAUGCGUCUUCUUGAGGGUCUUGUGCUUAGCAAUAAUGGAGAUUUGACAGAUGAACGUGCUUCUUCGAGGAGAAUGCUUCUGCAUGAUGUCUUUGCUACAAAAAUGAUUCUGAAUUCUAUCAAAUCUUUACCCAUUGAGCGGGAAGAAGAUGAUGUUUACUUGGCUCAAAGAAAAGAGGCACAAAAGAUGACGAGUUCAGCAUCUCGGAACUCUAAGGCUUCCGUGGAUGCCUAUCUGAGAGGGGAUCACUUAUCUGCCCAACUCUAUUCGCGGAAAGCUCGUGAAGAAUGGCUGACUGCUAAACAACUAAAUGCCAAGGCAGCAAAAGAAAUUCUGAGAAUCAAGAAUUUGAAGAAUGAUGAGUGGACAUUAGAUUUGCAUGGUCUUCAUGCUGCAGAAGCAGUCCAAGCCUUGCAAGAACAUUUGCAGAGGAUUGAAUCUCAGAUGCCUACAAAACAGCUUGCUUGUGCUAGAAGAUUCAAUGCAAUUCAAUCUCAGAUGCCUUGUGCUAGAAUAGUCCAUUUAUCUCAGAUGCCUAUUGCUUGUGCUAGAAUAGUCCAUUUAUCUCAGAUGCCUGCUAGAAGAUUCAAUGUAAUGGCAGGAAUUGUAUCUUCCACAGCUCCUAAUGUUGCAAUUUUUAGGGAUUUGGAAGAGUGUGAUAGCCAGAUUCCAUUGUUUAGGCCAAGACCAGCAUCUGUAGAAGUAAUAACAGGAAAAGGCAAGCAUAGUCGGGGUGAAGCCACACUUCCUCCAGCCAUUAGGAGCUUUCUCAAUGAAAAUAGAUAUCACUAUAGUGAAACACGACCUGGGGUGAUUGAAGUACAAGUCAAAUUCCGGUGAUGAUGAGCUCUGUGCAUUACACUAUCUUGCAAUGAGGGAGUUCUCCUUAUUUGAUAUGUAUCAUAGAUUGGUCUUUGGUAUUUUGCGAAAUGAGGAUGGUGGUUGCAUGAAGAUUUUUCUGGAUCUUUCUUUGGUUUGUGGAUCUCUUUUGAUAAAGUUUGUUUUGGCUCUUGCUAACUAUGGACACCUAUAUAGUGGACGAAUGGAAUCUCUUGCCUCCUUCAAUGCACGCUUUUGGCUAAGCAACUGUAUCAGAAUUGGCUGCCGUUGCAUAAUGACACUUUACCUUGGCAAUUUGAAGCAAACUAGUAUAAUCUUGGCAGAGUAUCCUGAAUUAAAGGGUUAGACAUUAAUUUUCUUGUUCUCGUGGAAUCAUUAAAUAAAAAUUGUCUUGGCAGAAAGUACCCUAUGUGAGAGGCUUAACAAAAAUGUCUUGGCUGAAGUACUCCAAAUGAGAGGAUUCAAUGCUACUUUUCUUCACAGAUGGGACUCUGUUUGAAUUAGUUGUUUUUCAGGUU